rnacentral:lncRNA from 1 species
GGAUCAUUGAUGUAAUAAUAUAUAGUGUCGAUGUAAUAAUAUAUACUGUUCAUGGAUCAUUAAAAUAUCUCUUAGUUUACUAUUUGAUUGUAUAAAAUUUCUAGUCUUAUGCAAAGAAUCCAAACCAUGAUAGUUGUGAUAAUAUAUCUAGUUUUUUUUAUAUAAUGAAGAGAUUUUUUAAGUUUUUUAAAAAGAAAAAAAUAUGAAACAAAAAGAUAAAAAAUGAUAUGGCAAGUUCUAUCUAAUUUUGAAAGAUGGAAUUCAGAAACUUCCCUAGCAACAAUCAAUUAGUUGUUAUAGAAAAAUGUAAUGCGAUGUUCAUUUUGGAGUUUUAUCGGUAAAAUGACAGGUAAUUACGAAUGUAUUAAAGGAAUGAUGUAUUCGAUUAUAUUUGUUGGCAUGUGAGACUUUCAAUUGAAAAGGUUAGUCACUUAUAUACUCCUUCAUCAAAAUUGUGUUUAAAUAUUCUAUUUGUGUCUAUGGUUAUAUUAGAAUGGUUUUUGUAUUGUGUAAUAAGUUUUAUGAAAUGAUAUAUAUUGUAUAAUUAGCUAUAAAAAAUACUAAAGAAAGAAAAAAAAUAUCUGUUUAUAGACCAAUGUUGAAAAUUAUUUAACUCUUUGAACUAAAAUCUAUAGAAAAA